UCUUACGGUACCGUCAUGAGCUCCUAGUAUUAAUAGAAACCUUUUCGUUCCGUACAAAAGCAGUUUACAACCCGAGGGCCUUCAUCCUGCACGCGGAAUGGCUGGAUCAGACUUGCGUCCAUUGUCCAAAAUUCCCCACUGCUGCCU
rnacentral:rRNA from 1 species